rnacentral:rRNA from 1 species
UAGGGAAUAUUAGUAAUGGGCGAAAGCCUGAACUAGCAACGCCGCGUGUGCGAAGAAGGCCUUCGGGUUGUAAAGCACUUUUUGAGAGGAUGAGGAAGGACGGUACUCUCAGAAUAAGUCUCGGCUAACUACGUGCCAGCAGCCGCGGUAACACGUAGGAGGCAAACGUUAUCGGGAUUUACUGGGCGUAAAGCGCGUGUAGGUGGUUUGGUAAGUAGGGCGUGAAAGCUCCUGGCUCAACUGGGAGAGGCCGUUCUAAACUGCCGAACUAGAGGAUGGUAGAGGGGGGUGGAAUUCCGGGUGUAGCGGUGGAAUGCGCAGAUAUCCGGAGGAACACCAGUGGCGAAAGCGGCCUCCUGGACCAUUCCUGACACUCAGACGCGAAAGCUAGGGUAGCAAACGG